ACGUCACCUCCUUGCCCCGAGCGGGUAGAGCGUUAUGACGGUCCCCACGACAGAGCAGCUGAUGCUGCGACGCGGUGACACUCAAGGAAUGACAUGUAAUUUCCAGACCUCAGCUCUGUGUCACUGAUCUGCUCUCCCCACAGCAACACUUUCCCGAGUGUAACUUUUGCUUCUGAUGAACUAAGGGAAUGAAUGGACUCCCUAGCAGCCUCAGAGAAGGCUUCCCUGCACCUGCAGAGAAGACUGGAACAGAGAAAUGAGAGAAGACACCGGUUUCCACUGUGUUUAUUACUAAUAUAAAAAAAAUUAAAAAGAAAACAAAAUCA